GCCGCAUUGUGGUCUAGUGGUUUAGAACUACUCCCCUAACUCACGGUUGAUCUCGACGUCCCGGGUUCGAUUCUCGCUGCGGCG